CUCUAAAAACCUCCAACAGAACAUUUUUUACUACAUGCCAAAAUUCCUGUAGAAAUCUCAUGUUAAAGCCAUCAGGACCUGGAGCUUGUCGCCUUUACAAUCCAUGAGUGCCUCUUUAAUCUCAUCUGUAGUGAACUCCUUCUCCACAUUGGUUCUAACUUCCUCAUCUAACAUCUCAAACUGCAAAUUGUCUAGUCUCGGUCUUUUAACAAUAUUUUCAUAAUACAGAUUAGAAAAGAACACACCUGGCUCUUCUCUCCUAUCUCUGUUUCCCUUGAUAUCACGACUGUCCACAGAUAGUUGGUCAACAUAAUUGCAUCUCUUUCUGUGACUAGCAAGACAGUGAAAGUAUCUAGUGUUCAUGUCACCUUCUUUAAUCCACUUUUCUCUCGAUUUUUGUCUCUAUGAGAUUUCAUUCAUCCUCAUUCUGUGCGCCAAGUCAACCCUCAACACCCUUCUCUUCUCGCUCUGUCCACCUCCCCCCCCUUCUUUCAGUCCUUCCUCUUUGGCUCACUUCUUGCUCUCAUCCUUUAGGAUUCUCAAUUUACGAGCCACUCUGUAGCUAGCUUUACUAAUUACCUUAUUCCCUUUCCAUGCUUUCUCUAUCAUGCUUCUGAAGUUCUCCACCUUUAAUCACUUGUUAUCAAUUCUGAAUUGGCCCCACUCUGUAGCAGCUCCGGAAAUUUAAAAUGAAA
rnacentral:lncRNA from 1 species